rnacentral:rRNA from 1 species
GUGGGGAAUCUUAGACAAUGGGGGAAACCCUGAUCUAGCCAUGCCGCGUGAGCGAUGAAGGCCUUAGGGUUGUAAAGCUCUUUCAGCUGGGAAGAUAAUGACGGUACCAGCAGAAGAAGCCCCGGCUAACUCCGUGCCAGCAGCCGCGGUAAUACGGAGGGGGCUAGCGUUGUUCGGAAUUACUGGGCGUAAAGCGCACGUAGGCGGAUCAGAAAGUCAGAGGUGAAAUCCCAGGGCUCAACCUUGGAACUGCCUUUGAAACUCCUGGUCUUGAGGUCGAGAGAGGUGAGUGGAAUUCCGAGUGUAGAGGUGAAAUUCGUAGAUAUUCGGAGGAACACCAGUGGCGAAGGCGGCUCACUGGCUCGAUACUGACGCUGAGGUGCGAAAGCGUGGGGAGCAAACAGGAUUAGAUACCCUAGUAGUCC